AAAAAGUACAAGAAGGAAGCCCUUCAAAAGAAAUUUUGCGACCUAAAACGCCUUCACCCUGAACUUGUGAAAGAGUAUAGUCAGCGAUUACGCCCAGGUAUUCCUGUUCCUUGUC